GGUGCGAUUACUCAAACAUCAACAUCACAACUGGGUUCUGGUUCAGUCAGAAACAGAGAACAAACUGGAGAAACAAAGAUGAACCUGAAGAUUUGACUUUAGAUUCAGAUUACUCAGGACGAGUGUGUCAGAGGAUCACAAAAGAUUACUCAAAGCUAAUAAUAUCAGAUGUGAUAGAGAGAGACAGUGGAGAAUAUCAGCUCAUGGUCAUUAUGAAGGAUGGAGUUAAACAUCUCAGCUCAGUCACAGUCAAUCUAACAGUUUCAGUUUUACAGGUGAAGAUGAAUCCUGAAUCUACAGGACAGCGAGUAAACCUGAGCUGUGAUUCCUCCUGCCCUUUAACAUCUGAAUAUAAUUACUACUGGUACAAGAAUGGACAACAUUUUAAAAA